UCUACGGGUGGCAGCAGUGGGGAAUAUUGCACAAUGGGGGAAACCCUGAUGCAGCGACGCCGCGUGAGGGAAGAAGUAUUUCGUUAUGUAAAGCUCUAUCGGCAGGGAAGAAAAUGACGGUACCUGAGUAAGAAGCCCCGGCUAACUACGUGCCAGCAGCCGCGGUAAUACGUAGGGGGCAAGCGUUAUCCGGAUUUACUGGGCGUAAAGGGCGCGUAGACGGGAGUGCAAGUCUGGAGUGAAAGGCGGGGGCUCAACCCUAGGACUGCGUUGGAAACUGUUCGGCUGGAGUGCGGGAGAGGUAGGUGGAAUUCUUGGUGUAGCGGUGAAAUGCGUAGAUAUUAAGAGGAACACCAGUGGCGAAGGCGGCUUACUGGACUGUAACUGACGUUGAGGCUCGAAAGCGUGGGGAGCAAACAGGAUUAGAUACCCGAGUAGUC
rnacentral:rRNA from 1 species